rnacentral:rRNA from 1 species
UACGUACCGUCCAAACGUUAUUCGGAAUCACUGGGCUUAAAGAGUUCGUUGGCGGCUCAGAAAGUUGGGUGUGAAAUCCCUCGGCUCAACCGAGGAAUUGCGCUCAAAACUACUGAGCUAGAGGGAGAUAGAGGUGAGCGGAACUGAUGGUGGAGCGGUGAAAUGCGUUGAUAUCAUCAGGAACACCGGAGGCGAAGGCGGCUCACUGGGUCUUUCCUGACGCUGAGGAACGAAAGCUAGGGGAGCGAACGGG